rnacentral:rRNA from 1 species
GACGAACGCUGGCGGCGUGCUUAACACAUGCAAGUCGAACGGAAAGGCCUGCUUUCCCUUGUGGAUUGCGGGUACUCGCGUGGCCAACGGGUGAGUAACACGUGAGUGAUCUGCCCCCAACUUGGGUAUAAGCCUGGGAAACUGGGUCUAAUUCCCGAUAGGACUGCAGGGUGGUGUCUGUGGUUGAAAACGAUUUUCUAGUGGUUGGGGAUGAGCUCGCGGCCUAUCAGCUUGUGGGUGGGGUAAUGGCCUACCAAGGCGGCGACGGGUAGCCGGCCUGGGGGGGUGGACGGCCGCAUUGGGACUGAGAUACGGGCCAGACGCCUACGGGAGGCAGCAGUGGGGAAUAUUGCACAAUGGGCGGAAGCCUGAGGCAGCGACGCCGCGUGGGGGAUGACGGCCUUCGGGUUGUAAACUCCUUUCGGCCGCGAGGAAGCCACCUGGAUGGAAGGGUGGUGACGGUAGUGGUAGAAGAAGCACCGGCUAACUACGUG